rnacentral:rRNA from 1 species
GACGAACGCUGGCGGCGUGCCUAAUACAUGCAAGUCGAACGCAGUGGGGACGGGUGAGUAACAAGUGGGUAACCUCCCAUCAGAGGGGAAAACACUUGGAAACAGGUGCUAAACCGAUACUGGUUGAUGGACCCGCGGUGCAUUAGCCAGUAGGUGGGGUAACGGCUCACCAAGGCCACGAUGCAUAGCCGACCGUAGAGGGUGAUCGGCCACACUGGGACGGAGACACGGUCCAGACUCCUACGGGAGUCAGCAGUAGGGAAUCGUCGGCAAUGGGCGAAAGUCUGACCGAGCAACGCCGAGUGAGUGAAGAAGGUUUUCGGAUCGUAAAGCUCUGUUGUUAGAGAAGCGGUAUCUGACCAGAAAGCCACGGCUAACUACGUGCCAGCAGCCGCGGUAAUAC